rnacentral:pre_miRNA from 3 species
AUUGGGAAGAGGAAGAAAGAAGGUUUAUAUAAGAGCUGUAGAAAUGGGAACAUGAAGGAAAAGUGCCUCCCAUUCCUAUUGUUCUUAAGUGCUACUUCCUCUUCCUUUGGUCU